rnacentral:rRNA from 2 species
GUCUUUUAGAGAAAAAUUAAAAGUCUAAUCUGCCCAAUGAUUAUUAAAUGGCCGCGGUAAACUGACCGUGCAAAGGUAGCAUAAUAAUUAGUCUUUUAAUUGAAGGCUUGUAUGAAUGAUUGAAUGAAAGAUUUUCUUUAUUGUUUUUAACAUUUUAAUUUAAUUUUUAAGUAAAAAAGCUUAAAUUAUUAUGUGGGACGAGAAGACCCUAUAGAGUUUAAAAAUUAAUCUAAUCAAUUAUUUUUGGUUUCUGUUAUUAAAUAGAUUAAAUUAAUUUUUUUGUUGGGGUGAUAUUAAAAUUUAAAAAACUUUUAAUUUAUUUUUCAUUAAUUAAUGAUUUUAUGUUCUUAUUUUAAAAAUAAAGGACUAAAUUACCUUAGGGAUAACAGCGUAAUUAAACUAUAGAGUUCUAAUCGACAGUUUAGUUUGCGACCUCGAUGUUGGAUUAAGAAAAGAUUUUGGGGCAAGUUCUAUUAUUUCUAGGUCUGUUCGACCUUUAAAUUCUU